GCCUGCAGUCAGCCAACAGAAUCUCUACCUCGUGGGAUACUCACAGAAACUGUCCAAGUACAAUGUGGGGUGCGUCAGAACAAGAUACCUAUACAAAAAUGGCGAUUGGGUGAAGAGGAGUCUGACUUACGUGUUUACCUUUGAAACAGAACCUUGGCAAACACAGUCCGCAGCUAUUGAUGUCCAAUGGAAACCAUAUGCUGCACUGCUGCAUGUGAAGGCUUCAGAGGUGCCAUCGACAUGCUCACUCUGGGUGACAAUAGACAAUGUGGAGAUUAUCCCAGAGACAAUAAACAGAACAUUUUAUACGAUCUGCCCAGAUCCUGUCUACGUUCCG
rnacentral:lncRNA from 1 species